rnacentral:rRNA from 1 species
GGAGAGGGCUAGCGUUAUUCGGAAUUAUUGGGCGUAAAGGGCGCGUAGGCGGAUUAGUAAGUUAAAAGUGAAAUCCCAAGGCUCAACCUUGGAAUUGCUUUUAAAACUGCUAAUCUAGAGAUUGAAAGAGGAUAGAGGAAUUCCUAGUGUAGAGGUGAAAUUCGUAAAUAUUAGGAGGAACACCAGUGGCGAAGGCGUCUAUCUGGUUCAAAUCUGACGCUGAGGCGCGAAGGCGUGGGGAGCAAACAGGAUUAGAUACCCUGGUAGUCCACGCUGUAAACGAUGAAUGUUAAAUAUGGGGAGUUUACUUUCUGUAUUACAGCUAACGCGUUAAACAUUCCGCCUGGGGACUACGGUCGCAAGAUUAAAACUCAAAGGAGUUGACGGGGGCCCGCACAAGCGGUGGAGCAUGUGGUUUAAUUCGAUGCAACGCGAAAAACCUUACCACUCCUUGACAUGGAAAUUAUACCUAUUCGAAGGGAUAGGGUCGGUUCGGCCGGGUUUCACACAGGUGA